rnacentral:rRNA from 1 species
GACGAACGCUGGCGGCGGGCUUAACACAUGCAAGUCGAACGGAAAGGCCCUGCUUUUGUGGGGUGCUCGAGUGGCGAACGGGUGAGUAACACGUGAGUAACCUGACCUAGACUUUGGGAUAACUUCAGGAAACUGGGGCUAAUACCGGAUAGGAGCUCCUGCUGGAUGGAGGGGGGGGGAAAGUUGCUGCGGGUGGGGAUGGACUCGCGGCUGAUCAGCUUGUUGGUGGGGUAGUGGCUUGCCAAGGCUUUGACGGGUAGCCGGCCUGGGAGGGUGACCGGGCACAAUGGGACUGAGAUACGGCCCAGACUCCAACGUGAGGCAGCAGGGGGGAAUAUUGCCCAAUGGGCGGAAGCCUGAUGCAGAAACGCCGCGUGCGGGAUGACGGCCUUCGGGGUGUAAACCGCUUUCGCCUGUGACGACGCGGGAGUGACGGUAAUGAGUAAAGAAGCACCGGCUAACUACGUG